UACGUAGGGGUCUAGCGUUGUCCGGAAUUAUUGGGCGUAAAGAGCUCGUAGGCGGUUCGGCAAGUCGGAUGUGAAAUCUCCACGCUUAACGUGGAGGGGCCAUUCGAAACUGCCGUGACUCGAGUCCGGUAGGGGAGUUCGGAAUUCCCGGUGUAGCGGUGAAAUGCGCAGAUAUCAGGAAGAACACCCGUGGCGAAGGCGGCUCUCUGGGACGGUACUGACGCUGAGACGCGAAAGCGUGGGGAGCGAACAGG
rnacentral:rRNA from 1 species